rnacentral:rRNA from 2 species
CCAACAGGGAUUCCCCUAGUAACGGCGAGUGAAGCGGGAACAGCUCAAAUUUGAAAUCUGGCCCUUGGGUCCGAGUUGUAAUUUGCAGAGGAUGCUUUUGGUGCGGUGCCUUCCGAGUUCCCUGGAACGGGACGCCUUAGAGGGUGAGAGCCCCGUACGGUUGGCCACCAAGCCUGUGUAAAGCUCCUUCGACGAGUCGAGUAGUUUGGGAAUGCUGCUCAAAAUGGGAGGUAUAUUUCUUCUAAAGCUAAAUACUGGCCAGAGACCGAUAGCGCACAAGUAGAGUGAUCGAAAGAUGAAAAGCACUUUGAAAAGAGGGUUAAAUAGCACGUGAAAUUGUUGAAAGGGAAGGAUUUAUGACCAGACUUUUUCUAGGGGGAUCAUCCGGUGUUCUCACCGGUGCACUUCCCCUAGUUGAGGCCAGCAUCGGUUUCUGUCGGGGGAUAAAAGCUUCAGGAAUGUGGCUCCCUCCGGGGAGUGUUAUAGCCUGUUGCAUAAUACCCUGACGGGGACCGAGGUUCGCGCAUUGCAAGGAUGCUGGCGUAAUGGUUAUUAAUCACCCGUCUUGAAACACGGACCAAGGAGUCGAACAUUUGUGCGAGUGUUUGGGUGUUAAACCCUCACGCGUAAUGAAAGUGAACGGAGGUGAGAGCCCUUCGGGGUGCAUCAUCGACCGAUCCUGAUGUCUUCGGAUGGAUUUGAGUAAGAGCAUAACUGUUCGGACCCGAAAGAUGGUGAACUAUGCGUGGAUAGGGUGAAGCCAGAGGAAACUCUGGUGGAGGCUCGCAGCGGUUCUGACGUGCAAAUCGAUCGUCAAAUCUGCGCAUGGGGGCGAAAGACUAAUCGA